rnacentral:rRNA from 1 species
UGAAUCAUCUUUAAUUGUCUUAGUAGGGGUGACUGAAAUAGACGAGGUUUGAGCGAUAGGAAAAGUGUAACGUAAGUGAAUGAACAGAUUAACAGGCAGGUACCAGUGAUGGGAUCAUGUACCUUUUGCAUCAUGGCUCUAUUACUUUUUUUUCUUAGGGAAUAGCCCGAAAAUUCUGCGAUCUACUUUCUCGCUAGGGGUUAGCGUAAGAUAGCUAUCCCGAGACGGGAAGAUAGUGGCGAAAUACUUUUCGCGCGGGUUGAUAGCUGGUUGCCCUAGAAAUACAUAUAAGUGUAGCUCUAUGGAGGACACACUCUAAUGGUAAGGGUUUUCUAGGAAGCUAAAUAAGAAAUAUUAGUUUGGUGGGUUUGAAGUGAAGUGUUUUUAAAAGAAGUGAGGUUUUUCAGGAUAAGCUGAGAGACCUAGUGUAAAAGGAAGUUGUUGAAGAGUGGGGGUUUAAGUGGGCUUGAAGAAGCUAUCUUUUUGGAGUGGGUUAAAUCUCAGAGUUUCCCUAGAUUUAAAUAGAAGUUUUAAUUCCUUUUUGGUUUAUGGGGCCUUUUUACUGGACGAGUGUAGUAAAAGUGAUAAUGUAGGGAUGAGUAGUCGGAGUGGUGUAGUUGUUUUUAAUUCAGGUAGUAAAGCAAUGUGGAGUAGCAACUAUAUUGGUAAACAAAGCUAAAGGAACUCGGCAAAAAAAGGGACCGCCUGUUUAACAAAAACAUGGCUUUCUGAGUAACAUGGGGGGUCGUGCCUUCCCGGUGAGUUUUCGGGCUUAAACGGACGCGGUAAAUCGUGCUAAGGUAGCUAAAUUAUGGCCUAUUAAUUGUAGGUCCUGUGAAUGGUUUGACGAGUCUUUAACUGUCUCUAGUUUGUUUUGGUGAAAUUGAAUUGGAUGUGCAAAUGCUUCCGUAGGUAAGAAAGACGAGAAGACCCCGUGAAGUUAGAAAUUUAAGUUGUAAGAGUUAUUCCUCUAAGUUUUACUGUUUCCUAGAGUAACAGGUUGAUUUAAGGCUUCAUGUUAGUUCAAGUAGAGGGGUGCAGCGGCAGUUUUGGCUGGGGCAGCAAAGGAGCAAGACUAGACUCCUAUUAUUUAAAGUGCGGAUGCGCUACGACCCACAGAGGUAUAAAUUUGUGAUUAGCAGAAGAAGUUACUCCGGGGAUAACAGCGUUAUCCGCCCUGAUAGUUCUUAUAGAUGGGCGGGUUUGCGACCUCGAUGUUGGCUCUGGGUAUCCUAAGGCUUGCAGGCGGUCUUAAGGGUUGGUUCGUUCGCCCAUGAAAACCCGACGUGAGCUGAGUUCAGAUCGGCGAAAGUUAGGUCGGUUUCUAUCUUCUUUCUAUUGAGUUUAGGCUUUAGGGUACGAAAGGACAUUUAGCUUUAGGUUUAAACCUAUAAAGGUUGUAGUUAAAAUAA